rnacentral:rRNA from 1 species
CCUACGGGAGGCAGCAGUGAGGAAUAUUGGUCAAUGGACGCAAGUCUGAACCAGCCAAGUAGCGUGCAGGAUGACGGCCCUACGGGUUGUAAACCUCUUUUGCCGGGGAGCAAGCCUGAGCACGUGUGCCCAGGCGGAGAGUACCCGGAGAAAAAGCAUCGGCUAACUCCGUGCCAGCAGCCGCGGUAAUACGGAGGAUGCGAGCGUUAUCCGGAUUUAUUGGGUUUAAAGGGUGCGCAGGCGGGCCGUUAAGCCGGCGGU